AUCAUCAAUUGAUGAAAAUUGGAAAAAUCUUAGGACACCUUCCUACAUAGCUUUCCUAGCUAUGGAUGAGAAUAAAAUUUCCAUUCUGAUGAUGAU
rfam:Populus trichocarpa scaffold_12_contig_179, whole genome shotgun sequence.